rnacentral:rRNA from 1 species
AUGAACGCUGACAGAAUGCUUAACACAUGCAAGUCUUUGGCGAAGCUGUGCUUGCACAGCCUAGCCAAGGCGGACGGGUGAGUAACGCGUAAGGAACUUGCCCUGCAGUCAGGGAUAACAGACGGAAACGACUGAUAAGACCUGGUAAAGUCAGGCGGACUCAUGUCCAGCCUGAUGAAAAGAGAUGCUGCAGGAGAGCCUUGCGUCCUAUUAGCUUGUUGGUGGGGUAACGGCCCACCAAGGCGAUGAUAGGUAGCCGGCCUGAGAGGGUGGACGGCCACAAGGGGACUGAGAUACGGCCCUUACUCCUACGGGAGGCAGCAGUGGGGAAUAUUGGACAAUGGGGGCAACCCUGAUCCAGCAAUUCUGUGUGCACGAUGAAGGUUUUCGGAUUGUAAAGUGCUUUCAGCAGGGAAGAAAAAAAUGACGGUACCUGCAGAAGAAGCGAUGGCUAAAUACGUG